rnacentral:lncRNA from 1 species
UGUUUUGAUUCCAAAUCGAGGAACAUCCUCUUGCUUUGAUCUCUGCUUAGAAAUUUGAAAGCAACGACUCUCUUUGUAAGUCGUCGGCGAUGUAGGUUGUGUUGAUGAGGACGGAGGACAAAUCUGAGGCGAUAAAACCUUCGUCGGCGACCGUCGCCGAAGUGAGGAGUCGUUGGUGAUGCAGAAGAAGCUACAAAGGCUUAGCAGGAUUAUCCAUUUUUUUAUGAUUGAUCGGAUUUUUUGCAUCAUUGAUACUUGGUACAAAUUUCUAUCUGGUUUUGUUAUUUUUUUUCUCUGUACUAUGUUACUGCUAUUAAAGAUACACUUACAUCCACUUAACUUCAUCUGUUAGUGAUAUAUGAGCACAACAAGAAUCAAUAUCACCGUGUUCUAAUGUUCAUCGAUCUCUUUUUAAUUUUUUAUUAGGGCCAGUAAUCUCUUUUGAGUUGCUCUACUGGGGUCAGUAACUGAUUAUUAGGGGUCAGUAACUUAAUUACUGAGAUCAAUAAUUGAUUACUGGGGGUCGGUAACUGAUUAUUAGGGAUUACCGGGGGUCAGUAACUCGAUUACUAGGGAUCAGUAAAAAAUUAUUGGGACCGAUAAUUGAUUACUAGAGGUUAGUAACUAAUUAUUGGGGUCAGUAACCAAAUUAUUGGGGUCAGUACUCGAUUAUUGGCGGUCAGUAACUGAUUAUUGGGGGUCAGUAACCAAGUUAUUAGGGUCAGUAACUGAUUAUUGGGGGUCAGUAACUGAUUAGUGGGAGAUUAUUAGGGGUCAGUAACUAAGUUAUUAGGGGUCAGUAACUGAUUAUUGGGGGUCAGUAACCGAGUUACCGGUGACCAGAAUCCGGCGACCGGGGAAAUCCGGCAACCAAAGUCCGACGACCGGUGACCGGAGUCCGGCGUCCGAUGACCGGAGUCCGGUGAGGUUCUGGCCAAGUAUUCUCUCUCUUUCACUUUCUCUCUCUCUAUGCAUAUUUAAAGGGUGAGGGUAAAAUAGUCUUAAAAUAAUAUGGUUUGUUAAGACUUUAGGAAAGAUUUGUGCAUUUGGGCAUAAAAAAGUAUACCUUAUAUUGAAAUGGGCUAAUGAAAAAGAUUAUCAUUGGAAUGGGAAAUAAGGGGUUUAAAUUAGUACUAAAUGGGCAUUUUCUCAAGAUAUUAGUUUUCAGUUACUGACACCCAAUAAUCAUUUUGUUUUCAGUUACUGACACCCAGUAAUCACCCAAUAAUCAUGUUGUUUUCAGUUACUGACCAGUUACUGACCCCCAGUAUCCAUGGCUUAAUCACAAGGAUUCCUCUCUCCAUCCAAAGUGAAAUCACAGCAGCAAGACUACUCUUCUCACCUUCUCACCUUCUCUUUUUCUCCAACCACAACACCAAUUUAACCUCCAAACCAACAACAACCAUAAUUUACCAACAAUAUCAAAGAAGGAUCAGAUCCUACCUUCAAAUCCCUAGCCUGGCCGGGGGUUGCAAUCCCGAUCUAAUCGUCCGUGAAGUCACCAGACCUAGCUCGACUAUACAAAUUCAAACCCGGCCGGACCGCCACGUACUCCGUCACCCUGUCCGAGAUCUUCAGUAAACUGUGUCGAAAUACAUAGAGAGACCAAGAGCAAUCUGGCGACAGCGAAGGCGGAGGCGGCGACGGGUGGUGGUGAUUGAUUUGGGUGGAGGAGGAGGAGGACUGGUGGUCGAAGAGGACGUCGGAGUGGAGGAGGCCGGGGCAGCAGACUACGAGCUUGUGGAGGAAGGACAAGGCGGCGGGGGGAUCGUCGGCGGAGAGAGAGAGAGUCGAGCUCCGAUCUGGAGUUGGAGAGAGAGAGAGAGAGAGAGAGAGAGAGAGAGAGAGAGUAG